AACGAACGCUGGCGGCAUGCCUAACACAUGCAAGUCGAACGAGACCUUCGGGUCUAGUGGCGCACGGGUGCGUAACGCGUGGGAAUCUGCCCUUGGGUCCGGAAUAACUCAGAGAAAUUUGAGCUAAUACCGGAUGAUGACGUAAGUCCAAAGAUUUAUCGCCCAGGGAUGAGCCCGCGUAGGAUUAGCUAGUUGGUGAGGUAAAGGCUCACCAAGGCGACGAUCCUUAGCGGUCUGAGAGGAUGAUCAGCCACACUGGGACUGAGACACGGCCCAGACUCCUACGGGAGGCAGCAGUGGGGAAUAUUGGACAAUGGGCGAAAGCCUGAUCCAGCAAUGCCGCGUGAGUGAUGAAGGCCUUAGGGUUGUAAAGCUCUUUUACCCGGGAUGAUAAUGACAGUACCGGGAGAAUAAGCCCCGGCUAACUCCGUGCCA
rnacentral:rRNA from 1 species